UUAUUUUGGAGGUAUUUUCUUAAAAUCACACAAUAUGAGCUAUUGAUAAAAUCUUACAUGUAAUUAAGGAAUCUUGUGGCAUUUUUGAAGUAAUCCAUAAAUUUUAUAAGAGAUGAAACUAAGGUUCAGCUCUAUGAUUCUUUUGAUGCUAAUUGUUUUGACCAAGGAAAUUUAUUUCUACAUUCUAAACAAUAAAUUUCAAAGUCCAUAGCAUCCAUAUUCAUCUUCAUUUUCAAUAUGAAAACACAUUAUUUUUCUCUUCA